UACGAAGGGGGCUAGCGUUGUUCGGAUUUACUGGGCGUAAAGCGCACGUAGGCGGAUUGGUCAGUUAGGGGUGAAAUCCUGGAGCUCAACUCCAGAACUGCCCUUAAUACUGCCAGUCUAGAGUCCGGAAGAGGUAAGUGGAACUCCUAGUGUAGAGGUGGAAUUCGUAGAUAUUAGGAAGAACACCAGUGGCGAAGGCGGCUUACUGGUCCGGCACUGACGCUGAGGUGCGAAAGCGUGGGGAGCAAACAGG
rnacentral:rRNA from 1 species